UGGUAUUGAUUCAAUCUAUCUGUAUCCAAUCUUGCACUGAUUUACAGCACUGUUUGUUUGUGUGAUUGCGUGUUUGCGUUUGUUUUUAGACAAUACUGUUAUCUAUAGAAAUUUACUGUCCAUUUGGUAUCGACAAAAAUAUGCAGUGUACUGUGUUGUUUCUAUGUAGACAUCGAAAGCGUGUUUCACAGUAGAUGAGUAGAUGUGUUAAUGUUAGAUUUUCACUCAUUGAAAAAGUGAUGAAAAAAAAAACCACUUUAUGGACGAUGUAUUAUUUAACUGUAACCAUAUUUUUGUUUUAUGUGUAUUUAUUUUUAUAUAACGCCUCCGAGAUGAUGUACUGAAGACCGGAAUUGCUUUAUCAUUCCCGAGUGCAAGGGCGCAUUCGCAUGUUUUAUUUCCAUUCUUUGCGUGAGGUGAUGCAUAUUUAACAACUCUAGGUUUUAAUGAAGGAGUCUAAACACACCUUACCGUUUGCUGUUGCUGGUCCUUCUUUCGUUCAUUUUGCUUUCUCUAAAUUUUUCCAUUUCCUCGUUAUGUCCCUUCUUCCGUAUUCUUCCUGUCAACUUUAGUAUUUGAACAUUCGAUGUCAAGAGUGAUUAAAAAAAAAAAAAAAAUAGCUUAUUAAAGGCAAUUCUAGGCUUCGUUUACUUGAUAAUGAGAUCAGGACGAAUAAAAGAGCACUUAUUUUGAUCGGCCAUUGCAAUAAAAAUAAAGGUUUCGGUAUUUUUAAAAGGUUCUGCCCUUUCUGAUCCUAAAAUUGAUACACUUGAGUUUUGAGGACUGUGCCACUUUGCCUUACAACGUACUCUCUUGCUAAGCCUUGGUUCCACUAAUCUGUGAAGUUUUAGGAUAAUGUUGUUUUAAGUUUAUUGACCAUAUUAAUGAAUCACUUUGGCAGACUCUCAAUGCGCUGGGUUAAUAUUUGAGACAGGUAAAGUUGAAGAAGUUGGACAGCUAAGUAGGACGAAGAGUGAAGGGAUCAGAAGGUAAAGUUAAAGAAGGUGGACAGCUAAGUAGGGAGAAGAUUGAACGGAUCAGGAGAAGGUAAAGUGAAAGAAGUUGGACAGCUAAGUAGGGAGAAGAUUGAACGGAUCAGGAGAAGGUAAAGUUAAAGAAGUUGGACAGCUAAGUAGGAAGAAGAUUGAAGGGAUCAGGAGAAGGUAAAGUUAAAGAAGUUGGACAGCUAAGUAGGAAGAAGAUUGAAUGGAUCAGGAGAAAGAUAAAGAGACAAAAAGCAAUUUCGGCGGAAGAUUAAGACGACGAUUAAAAGAAAAAUAAUUGUUAUCGCUAGAUUAAGUUGGCUUUUACCAACGCAGACACGUGCAAGCUAUCCGCAAUUGACAAGCCACGGGUACUUCCCCCUUUUUUUUGGGGGGGGGAGGGUAUGAGGGGGAUGGCCGUUGUUGAAAACACAGAAGGUAUUGUAACCGGUGUCAAGGUCUUAAUCCGCCGUGUAUUUCUGGACCGGAAUGGGCGGCUGGGGUUUAAGCGACGCUGAAGGAAAAUUUCAACUUUUAAAUUACUUUUAUUCUCCAUCAAGUCCUGAUCUCCGAGACACAUGUGGCCCCCGGGCGCCCAACCUACCCAAAAUAAAUAGGGCGAAAAAGACGGUUACUUAAGUAUUGGGAAGGGAGAAAAAAAAAGUUAAAGGGCGAGAGAUAGUUCAAUGAAUGAUUUUAAGAAAUAAUCAGAGAGAGAGAGAGAGAGAGAGAGAGAGAGAGAGAGAGAGUAAUGGAAAAAUAGAACGAGAAAAAGAAAGUAAUGGAAAAAUAGAACGAGAAAAAGAAAGUAAUGGAAAAAUGUCAAAAUAGAACGAGAGAGAGAGAGAGAGAGAGAGAGAGAGAGAGAGAGAGAGAGAGAGAGAGAGAGA